rnacentral:rRNA from 1 species
AUUGAACGCUAGCGGGAUGCUUUACACAUGCAAGUCGAACGAGUGGGGACGGGUGAGUAACACGUGGGUAACCUCCCAUCAGAGGGGAUAACACUUGGAAAUAGGUACUAAACCUAUACCGCUGGAUGGACACGCGGGGCAUUAGCUAGUUGGUGAGGGAACGGAUCACCAAGGCCACGAUGAAUAGCAGACCUGAGAGGGUGAUCGGCCACACUGGGACUGAGACACGGCCCAGACUCCUACGGGAGGCAGCAGUAGGGAAUAUUGCACAAUGGACGAAAGUCUGAUCUAGCAACGCCGCGUGAGUGAAGAAGGUUUUCGUGUCGUAAAACUCUGUUGUUAGAGAAGCGGUAUCUAACCAGAAAGCCACGGCUAACUACGUGCCAGCCGCCGCGGUAAUUC